rnacentral:rRNA from 1 species
AUUGAACGCUGGCGGCAUGCUUUACACAUGCAAGUCGAACGGUAACAGGCCGCAAGGUGCUGACGAGUGGCGAACGGGUGAGUAAUGCAUCGGAACGUGCCCAGUCGUGGGGGAUAACUACUCGAAAGAGUAGCUAAUACCGCAUACGAUCUAUGGAUGAAGGCGGGGGACCGUAAGGCCUCGCGCGAUUGGAGCGGCCGAUGUCAGAUUAGGUAGUUGGUGGGGUAAAGGCUCACCAAGCCAACGAUCUGUAGCUGGUCUGAGAGGACGACCAGCCACACUGGGACUGAGACACGGCCCAGACUCCCACGGGAGGCAGCAGUGGGGAAUUUUGGACAAUGGGCGCAAGCCUGAUCCAGCAAUGCCGCGUGCAGGAAGAAGGCCUUCGGGUUGUAAGCUGCUUUUGUACGGAACGAAACGGCUCUGGUUAAUACCCGGGGCUAAUGACGGUACCGUAAGAAUAAGCACCGGCUAACUACGUG